rnacentral:misc_RNA from 1 species
CAUUUUCCUUUCUGGUUGGUUCGCGAGCGUGCAACUGUGUCCAAGUUGCGCAACGCGUGACCACGCUGCGUAAAAAAGAUGCCAGGGAAAGUGAGAGAUUUCGCGAGGAAACGAAUCGUCGGACGCGUUUCCGUAAAGGGACGACAGCAGCGAGGAAGAAAGCGGCGAAACAGUUGGAUAUUGCGGCGUUAAUUAUACGGUGGAUCGGAUCGGUUUAGUCGGGUCCGGUAGUCGAGUCGGGUGUGACAGCAACGACCUGCCGCUGGCCUAACAAUGGAAACUGGGUUAAAAAGUGAAAGGAUCCAGAGAUCGAAGGAGGAACGACCAUGGCUCCUAUUCGGCUCGCUAUUCGCCAUUCUGUAUUCGCGCGGCGAUAGAGCUAGUUGCACUGUUCCGGUCCGUAUAAUCGGCUUUCCGGGUUCAGUGGUUUCCAAAUUGGCAGAAAUUUCGCUCGGUCGCCGAGCCGUUCGUCGAUCGGCAAACGGAAACACGCAAGUCGGCGAAAGUCGUCGCGACUCUCGUUUCAUCGUUUCGCGUUCACGUGCGCGUGUUUCUCGCUCUCGAAAUUUGCUCACCUCGGCCGAUUAACUUUAUUCGCAACGAUGCAAAGCUAUCUGUGUUUCUACCCUCGAAACACCUGUUAUCGCUAAAAGACCGUUUACCGAACGUAUAAAGCUCCGUCGUUUUGUCUCAGAGCACAUUUUGCGCAGUCUAGAUGUUAUUCAGAAACCUUGUUAAACCUCCUAUUUACGAAAGAUGCCGUUCCGACGCCUGUAGGUAGCUGUUAUCGCGUAACCGGGCCAAGUACGAUAGAUUUACAUAGUCGUUAGCGUUUAAGAAUAGUCAGCCUGGUGAUCUAACUUGCAGCGUAAACUACCGAAAGGAUACAAAAUCGCGAUACAGAAAUUGGAAAAUACGUUGGACGUAUCGAGCGCACGUUGGAAGCGCCAUACGUAGGGAUCAUCGGUAAUGGGUAGAUCGGUCGCGGAUCGAAAACUAAAACAACGGCAGCUAGAAUCGAUUAGAAGGAGUUGCAUGGAACGAGCAAAGGCAUACACGCUGACACAUCCGGGUCUUGCCGCGCAUAAUCUAGCCAUUCUGUCGUGGCAGUCUGUUCUUGUAUCGGUCGGGAUACACGAGCCGAAAUUAUUUCAUCCACCCCCGCGGCUUUAUGGAGAUGUCAGCGACGGAUCGGAGGAGUGCGAGCGACAGGAACGUCACCAACGACCAGGCAAAUGGUCUGUAAAAACGUGACGUCAUGUUCUCUUUUAGAUAGACACCUGCCUCGAAAUAGAAAAGAUACAGGCAUUAUGAUUUUCAACCAGGGAGGCUACUUAUUUUGCGCUCGAUUUGACACGAGUCGUACGAGCGUUCUACGUAACGCUCGAAAACCUUGAUUUCUCGGCACUCGAGGUAUUUUUAAAACGAAAGUUGUUUCAAGUGUCAAGCGUAACCGGGGCAUCCUUAGACGUUGAUAAUUAAAUAGCAUUAGGGAUCGUCGAUGCACCGACCCCUGAUCGA